CAUCAUUGUCGUAAAAUUCCGAAGAAUUAUUGUAUGAUCCCAAAACUAGAUGAAAUUCUAAAGAGUUAUGGGAGAAAUUCAGAGCAGGGUUUGUUGUUGUUGUCUUGAUGAUAGUAACACUCGUCAAGUCUCCAAAUUGGCGGUGGCGUGCUACAAAGCCCUCCUAUUUUCCCUAACAAUACACAGCGUUUCAACUUUUCACCAUUGAUGAUCCUAGCGGCCGCCUAGUGACCGCCUAGCAACCGCCUAGACUGCCUAGCCCGCCUAGACCGCCUAGCGCCCGCCUAGACCUCUUAGUGCCCACCUAGACCCCUAGACCGCCUAGCGCCCGCCUAGUGACCGCCUAGCCCGCCUGGCGCCUGCCUAGACAACCUAGCAACCGCCUAGACCACUUAGUGCCUGGCUAGCGACCGUCUAGCGACCGCCUAGCAACCGCCUAGACUGCCUAGCCCGCCUAGCGCCCACCUAGGCCAUUUAUUCUGUAAUAUUAACAAUAUGAGUGAGUGUGUUCAAGGGUUUAACUUGUAAAGAAGAUUUCCGAACAACAACAGAUAACCCAGAGAAGUUUCAUGGAGUUAUUACAAUGGUGGCUCUUGGCCAAAAUUCUGACUUAUGUGUUUGUUCUAAAACAAUUGGUUAAUGAUGUUGCAACGGGGAGGCCUCAGACUGCUAAGAGAGCAAUUGAACGAGUGGAGCAUCGGCUCUCAAAAGAUGGGUGGCCAGAAUACUAUGACGGCAAGGCAGGGAGAUAUGUCAGGAAGCAAGCGAGGAAGUACCAGACCUGGAGCAUCUCAGGAUAUCUGGUAGCUAAACUGAUGAUCGAGAACCCAACCAAUCUUUCACUGAUCCCUCUUGAAGAGGACAAGAAGAUAGCCAAGCCAAGGCUCACCCGCUUCACUUCCUUUUGAGUCAAACCAGUGUCAGCAGCAUACAUGAUGCAUUACAGAUUAAGAGGGCGACAUAGUCUGCUGAAGGUUGUGUGAAAGACUUCAUCUUUGGAUCAAAAAGGCAACCUGAAAGAGAAAUUGAGAAGCUGGCCCUUAACAGUGCAAAGGAUUAUCAUUAGUUUUUUACAUCCUUAGUUAAAUAGGCGGUUAACAAUGUAUUGAGAAUGAUUCUACUGUUCUUGUUAGUUUUAUGUGGUGAUAUUUGGACCUUAUGUGGUGAUAUUUCAUGUUUUGUUUCAUUUCAUGUAUGAUCUUCACCUUGCUACUGAGAUAAAACCAAAUUCAGUAUGGAUAUGAUUCUUGGGCA